rnacentral:rRNA from 1 species
GACAGAGGGUGCGAACGUUGCUCGGAAUUACUGGGCGUAAAGCGUGCGCAGGCGGCUUUGCAAGACAGAUGUGAAAUCCCCGGGCUUAACCUGGGAACUGCAUUUGUGACUGCAUGGCUGGAGUGCGGCAGAGGGGGAUGGAAUUCCGCGUGUAGCAGUGAAAUGCGUAGAUAUGCGGAGGAACACCGAUGGCGAAGGCAAUCCCCUGGGCCUGCACUGACGCUCAUGCACGAAAGCGUGGGGAGCAAACAGG